rnacentral:lncRNA from 1 species
AGUAGAGAGUGGUGGAGAGAAAGAGAGAAGGUCAGAGAGGUCAGUAAAGUCCAGACCAUGCACAGCUUCAGGUCAGGUGAAGAAUGGGAAGCUAUUGGCAGAUUUUAAGCAGGGGAAUGUCAUGAUCUAAUGUUUUCAAAAGACCACUCUAGCAGGAGUGUGGUGGAGUGAGAGUGGGUGUGGGAAGAGCAGUUAUAUGACCAUUUAAGCGAUCUUAGCAGACAUGAUGGCAGCUCUGCAAUGAAGACCAGGAGAUGAACACGGGAUACAUUUUGGAGUUGUAGCUGAUCGGGCAUACUGAUGGAUUAGAGGGGGGUAGCAGUAAGCAAGUGGUUGAUGCUGUUAGCUGGGACUCAACUGGGGCUAUCUGCCAGAACUCACACAUGUGGUCUCCUCAUGUGGCAUGGACUCCCUCACAUCAUGGCAACCUAAGACUUCUUAUAUAGCAGCUCCAGGCUCCAAAGGGGUCUUUGAAGAGUUCACCCAGGAGCUUCAAAAUGAGGAACAGUGCUUGCAAUUUCCUUGAAUACUAAGAACAUCCAGCUAUUUGUAGACAGAUAAAAGAGAGCAGCCCCCAGAGGUGCUGAUCCAGCCAAGAUAGCUCAUCCAGUUCUCAACAGGACUAAAGGACUUAUCCUAUGCCUAGUUUUUCACUCCCCUCAGAGGGUCAGGUGAACUGGGGAGCAAGAGGAACUGGCGCCUUUCCCUACUUCUCUUUCAAUUCGUUUAUUGAGGUAACUGCACUGGGGAAAAGAUUAUAUCCAAAACUUUUGGAUUGCUCGACAUUAGAUGUUAACUCUGAGCUAAUACUAAUUUCCAGGGACCCAGAAUGAACUUAUCAAUGGAUAUCAGGAAUGGAGAUGACACAUGAAUAAGCACAGUAACAAGGAUUUCCCCUCACCAGGAUGACGUGGCCUUUGCCAUUGCUGAGAACCCAUUUUGCACGCAAUGUUUUCCCGGAUAAUAAAUGACACAGCUGGGAUUUAUUCAGGUGUUCUGACUCCAAAGUCCUUGCUCCUGAUCACCAUGCGCUACCGACUUUGAGCAGUGAUGUCUCACAGAUGGGAAUGAUUCCUCUGAAGGACUGAACAGAAGUAGCUGUGCAACCACCACUAGAAGCCUUCUGAGCGUGUUACUGAAGAGGAUGAGGCAGGAGGCUUCCAGAGGCAACAGCCAAGACUAAGCCAUCAACCACAGGGCCAAACCCAGUAAAAAAGAAAAAUAAGAACACUUCCACUUAAAGAACUGCUGCAAUUAUACUGUUCCUUUUUUUUUUCCAUUAACAUGUCUUUCCUUUUAUGAUGGCGAGAGUUAAUAUUAAGGUGUGCAUAUAUGUUUGUUAAACGAUCUCAUUUUGCAAUUAAAAGUUUGCACUUAUAUUAA